CUCUCUAAUCUCUACAAAAUCACUCUCAAAGUUCUUGCAAUUCAGAAAUUCGGACAGAUUCAUACCUCCUUACAAAAGAUAACUUGGUGUUCCCCCCAUCAAAUCAACUCUUCACGGAUUCAAGUGGGAAAGCUUGCAAAACCGUUGAUGAUGAUGAUGCCAUGAAAAUGAAGUAGCAACGAU